rnacentral:rRNA from 1 species
AGAGUUUGAUCCUGGCUCAGAGUUAACGCUGGCAGCGUGCAUAACACAUGCAAGUCGAGCGGAACAUCCGUUAUAGCAAUAUAGUGGAUGUUUAGCGGCAGACGAGUGAGUAACACGUAAGAAAUCUACCCUAGAGCGGGGAAUAACUUGUCGAAAGAUAGGCUAAUACCCCGUACGACCCGGAGAAGGCAUCUUUUUCGGAUGAAAGGCCCGCAAGGGCCGCUCUUGGAGGAUCUUGCGACCUAUCAGCUAGUUGGUGGGGUAACGGCCCACCAAGGCGACGACGGGUAGCCGGCCUGAAAGGGCGAUCGGCCACGGAGGCACUGAGAAACGGGCCUCACUUCUACGGAAGGCAGCAGUGGGGAAUUUUGGACAAUGGGGGAAACCCUGAUCCAGCAACGCUGCGUGAGGGAUGAAGGCCUUCGGGUCGUAAACCUCUUUUAUUAGGGACGAAAUCCCGCAAGGGUCUGACGGUACCUGAUGAAUAAGCCACGGCUAACUACGUGCCAGCAGCCGCGGUAAGACGUAGGUGGCGAGCGUUACUCGGAAUCACUAGGCGUAAAGCGCGUGUAGGUGGGUGCUUAAGUCCGCUGUGAAAUCUCCUGGCUUAACUGGGAGCGGUCAGCGGAUACUGGGCGUCUCGAAUGGGGUAGGGGGUGCUGGAAUUCCCGGUGUAGCGGUGAAAUGCGCAGAUAUCGGGAGGAACACCAAUGGCUAACGCAGGCACCUGGGCCUCCAUUGACACUAAGACGCGAAAGCUAGGGGAGCAAACAGGAUUAGAUACCCUGGUAGUCCUAGCCGUAAACGAUGAUAACUAGCUAUGGGAGGUAUCGACCCCUUCCGUGGCGACGCUAACGCAUUAAGUUAUCCGCCUGGGGAGUACGGCCGCAAGGUUAAAACUCAAAGGAAUUGACGGGGGCCCGCACAAGCGGUGGAGCAUGUGGUUUAAUUCGACUCUACGCGAAGAACCUUACCUGGGCUCGAACGACUGGUGGUAGUCCGGAUGAAAGUCUGGGCGACCCGCAAGGGAGCCAGCCGAGGUGCUGCAUGGUUGUCGUCAGCUCGUGUCGUGAGAUGUUGGGUUAAGUCCCGCAACGAGCGCAACCCCUGUCCUGUGUUGCUACCCGCAAGGGAGGACUCUCAGGAGACUGCCGCGGAUAACGUGGAGGAAGGUGGGGACGACGUCAAAUCAUCAUGGCCUUUAUGUCCAGGGCCACACACGUGCUACAAUGGCGUAUACAGCGGGAUGCAAAGCCGCAAGGUGGAGCAAAUCCCUUAAAGUACGCCCCAGUUCAGAUCGUGGGCUGCAAUUCGCCCACGUGAAGGCGGAAUCGCUAGUAAUCGCGCAUCAGCACUGGCGCGGUGAAUACGUUCCCGGGCCUUUUACACACCGCCCGUCACACCACGAAAGCCAAUUGCAACAGAAGUGCGCAGCAAUGCGUCCGAAGUUGUGAUUGGUGAUUGGGGUGAAGUCGUAACAAGGUA